UACGGAGGGUGCGAGCGUUGUCCGGAAUCACUGGGCGUAAAGGGCGCGUAGGCGGCUGGGGAAGUCGGCGGUGAAAGCCCGGAGCUCAACUCCGGGUCGGCCGUCGAGACUCCUCGGCUCGAGCUCACUAGAGGCAGAUGGAAUUCCGGGUGUAGCGGUGGAAUGCGUAGAGAUCCGGAAGAACACCGGUGGCGAAGGCGGUCUGCUGGGCCAAGACUGACGCUGAGGCGCGACAGCGUGGGGAGCAAACAGG
rnacentral:rRNA from 1 species